rnacentral:rRNA from 1 species
UACAGAGGGUGCGAGCGUUGUUCGGAUUCACUGGGCGUAAAGGGUGCGUAGGUGGUGAGGUAAGUCUGAUGUGAAAUCUCCGAGCUCAACUCGGAAAUGGCAUUGGAAACUACUUGGCUAGAGGAGUGGAGGGGGGACUGGAAUUCUCGGUGUAGCAGUGAAAUGCGUAGAGAUCGAGAGGAACACCAGUGGCGAAGGCGAGUCCCUGGACACUUCCUGACGCUGAGGCACGAAAGCUAGGGGAGCAAACAGG